CCUACGGGAGGCAGCAGUCGAGAAUCAUUCACAAUGGGGGAAACCCUGAUGGUGCGACGCCGCGUGGGGGAAUGAAGGUCUUCGGAUUGUAAACCCCUGUCAUGUGGGAGCAAAUUAAAAAGAUAGUACCACAAGAGGAAGAGACGGCUAACUCUGUGCCAGCAGCCGCGGUAAUACAGAGGUCUCAAGCGUUGUUCGGAAUCACUGGGCGUAAAGCGUUCGGAGGCGGUUUCGUAAGUGGCGUGUGAAAGGCGCGGGCUCAACCCGCGGACGGCACAUGAUACUGCGAGACUAGAGUAAGGGAGGGGGAAGCGGAAUUCGCGGUGUAGCAGUGAAAUGCGUAGAUAUCGCGAGGAACACUCGUGGCGAAGGCAGGUUCCUGGACAUUAACUGACGCUGAGGCACGAAGGCCAGGGGAGCGAAAGGGAUUAGAUACCCCUGUAGUC
rnacentral:rRNA from 1 species